UACGUAGGGUCCGAGCGUUGUCCGGAAUUACUGGGCGUAAAGAGCUCGUAGGUGGUUUGUCGCGUUGUCCGUGAAAACUCACAGCUCAACUGUGGCGUGCGGGCGUGACGGGCAGACUGGAGUACUGCAGGGGAGACUGGAAGUUCCUGGUGGUAGCGGUGGGAAUGCGCAGGAUAUCAGGAGGAACACCGGUGGCGAAGGCGG
rnacentral:rRNA from 1 species